rnacentral:sRNA from 1 species
UAUAAUUUUUUCGCAUAUGCCAUGAUUAGAAUUUUUAAAAACGAAUAUAAACUGUUCAAUACAUGAACAAAUAUUAUAACGGGUCAAAAAUAGAUUAAAGAAAACUUUCGACUGAGUAACGGGUCAUAAUUUAAAUAUUUAUAUUCAAUUUCAUACAUAUUAUUUUGAAAAUUUAUAAUCUUAUAUACUACAAUAAUUAAUAACAUAUUAGAUAUUUUUAUGUGUAUGAUGUGAUUCAAUUUUUAAUACAAGCUGGAAAAUCCUAGAAUUGACGGGUUUAGAUCGAUAUUAAUACAAGAUGAUAUAUU